rnacentral:rRNA from 1 species
GUUGAACGCUAGCUACAGGCUUAACACAUGCAAGUCGAGGGACCGGCGCACGUGUGAGUAACACGUAUCCAACCUGCCCUUUACUCGGGGAUAGCCUUUCGAAAGAAAGAUUAAUACCCGAUAUAAAGGAUGGGGAUGCGUUCCAUUAGGUUGUUGGUGAGGUACCGGCUAACCAAGCCUUCGAUGGCUAGGGGUGCUGAGAGGAAGGUCCCCCAGAAUGGAACUGAGACCCGGUCCAAAAUCCUACGGGAGGCAGCAGUGAGGAAUAUUGGUCAAUGGGCGCUAGCCUGAACCAGCCAAGUAGCGUGAAGGAUGAAGGCUUAUGGGACGUAAACUUCUUUUAUAUAAGAAUAUGUAUUAUAUGAAUAAGGAUCGGCUAACUCCGUGCCAGCAGCCGCGGUAAUAC